UUCUAAGCCUACACAUGCAAGUCUCAGCUCCCCAGUGAGGACGCCCUUUUACCUUUUCCAGGCUAAGGAGCCGGUAUCAGGCACUAAAUCUGCCCACAACACCUAGUCCCACCACACCCCCAAGGGCCUUCAGCAGUGAUUAAUAUUGCCUAUAAGUGUUAACUUGACCCAGCUAUAGGAAAGAGAGCUGGCUAACUCGGUGCCAGCCGCCGCGGCUAAACCGCACGAGCUCAAAUUGAUAAUUGUCGGCGUUAAGCGUGAUUAAAGGCCCCACUAAUUAGAACAAAACCUAAACUCAGCUGUGAUAAGCCUGUUUUUGAGAAAUACAAAUACGAAAGUUGCUCUAAUCAACCCCUUGAAUACACGACAGUCGGGAAACAAACUGGGAUUAGAUACCCCACUAUGCCCCACCGUAAAAUAUAUACUCACACUAACCAACGCCCGGGUAUUACGAGCCUCAGCUUAAAACCCAAAGGACUUGACGGUGUCCCAUCCAACUAGAGGAGCCUGUUCUAUAAUCGAUAACCCCCGAUACACCUAACCCCUCCUUGCCAAUCAGCCUGUAUACCUCCGUCGCAAACUUACCAUAUGAAUGCUAAUAGUAGGUUAAAUGGUUUUAUCGCCAACACGUCAGGUCAAGGUGCAGCUCAUGAUAGGGAAAGCAAUGGGCUACAAUUUCUAAAAUAGAACAUACGAAAUGCUGCAUGAAACACAGCCACGAAGGCGGAUUUAGUAGUAAAAAGAAAAUAAAGUGUCCUUUUUAAUAAGGCCCUGGGACGUGUACACACCGCCCGUCACCCUCUUCAACAGCACACAAUAUGUUUUUAACAACUCUUGCACUUUAGAAGAGGCAAGUCGUAACAUGGUAAGUGUACCGGAAGGUGCACUUGGAUUUAC
rnacentral:ncRNA from 1 species